rnacentral:SRP_RNA from 1 species
GCAGGUUGGUUGCGGACGAGCAGUUCGCCAACCCGGUCAGGUCCGGAAGGAAGCAGCCGUAACGAG